UGGAAACGUGCUGCUCACGGUACGUGCAAGCAGCUGUGAGCUGGAUGUACUGUUCUGGCUUCUGCAUCCGGGACAGAGGGCUUGGUCAUCCGCUUCGCAUGGACGCAUUUGUGAGUUCCUGUGUACGCUACGGCUCUGACGAUCAGUCCACGAGAGAGGGAAACAAGGAUACAUUCAACAAGUGAAGAAGAACAAGUGAAUAUGGCACCACCCCCUAUGGCAGCAAGGACUAGGUCAAAGACAACGAAUCUUAACAGACACGAAUCUACCCAUCAAGAGCCCGUAUGUGAAAAUGGUAUCAAACGUGAAAGGUAAAGAGAGCAUGAGACAGAGCAUACAGGAGGAUGUUGACAUGAGGAGAAGGAGCAAGAAGUGACAUGGAGCUUUUCUCAGUUAUUCUCCUCUGCCACAGUUGUGGAGUUCUUCUCCCAUCUUACCAGACCUGACAGCGACAGUGAAUAAUUCACUGUGUCGCACCCAUGUGAAGGCGUAGCUGUAGUAUAUCCCUGUGCAUGUUUCAGCUCUUACAUGCAGAUGCACUUUACUCCAUUAAUCCUUUCUGCUUUGACAUCAGAGUGUUGUGGGUUCAGUGCCACUUGAGUUAUCCCAGAGAUCAGGGUAGGACAUUCUGUCACUAUCCAGGGUGAUUUUGCCCCCAUCAUUCAUUUUUGGGGGUGCUUUUGUAUUACAAUGGUGCUAAACUUUGAAUUCCAUGAAAAUUUAAUUGGCUGCCGUUUUUAUUAUCAGACAAUCAAAUACAUAAUACAUACAUGUUAAUUCUGAUACACUUGUUCUCCAACUCCAACCAUUUUUCCAACAUUUAUGCCUCUUGAUAAAGUUUUCUUUUCACUCAAUGGGACCCUCAGCCAAUUAGAUAAUGUAUGUAAUUUCACGUAUAGGAUUGAUGGAUCAGGUGCACAAAAUUAUAACAUUCAUACAUGAGAACAAAUUAAGGGAUGUUUUUCUGGCACAAAUGUUAGUAAAAAGAGCGGUUGUUUUUUUUGUGUAAUGUAUCUUGCAUUUGUCAGAAACUGCUGUUUUACCCUGGGCAAGGGUAACUUUAGAAGUCCCUUGGUGUUACUGUGUGACAGAACUUAGUUUAAAUUAUUUUACAUUACACUGUGACAAGUGAAGUCCCCACAGAAGGUAAAGAGGGAUCAUGUUGUUGUAGAGCUUUUAAUGCGAUUAAAAUAAAUCCUCUUAUUGCUGCUGCUGUGCUGUGGUGCUGCUGUAUGACUAGCGGCUGUAUCAUAGCAUACCAAAAUAUAGCCUCCAUUAGAUGGGAGGCAGGCAAACACCUUCUCUGAUUACCUGACAACACUGUGGAGCAGUAUGGUUUGGCAGUUGGCAACUGUACAGAAAUACAUUCUAUUAAAGUCAUGGCUUCAUUUUUGCAUCCUUUGGAAAUUUGUGAGUGAUUUGGAGAACAUUCUGUGUUCUAGUGACAGAUAAACUCUGAAUUAGUCUCAUGUCAAAUGCAUCAGUAUUCUGCCUGUGUUAUUGCUGUAUGUUGCCAAUUGUAGGUCUAUGCUUUUUCAAAUAUCAUAUUUAAUAUUGAUCACCUGCUAUCUAUUUAGAUGUGGUUAAUAACAGAGUUUGCAUUAGCAUGAUUGAGACCACUUAUUUUGUCUGGCAGAAUCGAUCAAUUCUGUUUCCCUGAUUUUGCCUUGUGUCAAUCGCUUGUGUCAUUGUUGUGGUCAUUGAGUGGUCAAUGCAUUUAGCUACAUAUGGGUUAAUCGUGUGUCACUUGUUGGCACCCGACUGGUGAGAUCUUUGAUUGAAUGCUGUGUUGUAUAAAACUGGUCCCAUAGGGCUUUCUGACAGUGCCCUACAUCCCAAGAGCAGAUCAUUAGCACCCUUUACCCAAAUAUCAGCAGAUCGGCAGUGGCCCUGCAUGCAGGGGACAGAUUGAUAUGGAGUGGCAUUGCUGACAGUAGCUAAGAAUAACUGACUCAUAGUGGUUCUGACUCUUCUAGCAGAUCUCUGAUAUCCCUUUUAAUUGUUUCCUGCACCGUGGGCGAAGGAAUGUGCCUUCACUCUUCUCACCGCCCACCAUUCACGGCUGGGGCAUUUUCUGUGAGUCAUCCAGUAGCUGACGGCUGAUGUGUGGAAGCAUCCCUGUGAAUCUGUGAAUGGCGUCUUAACUGGUCAGUGAAUGGAGGAGCUGCGGGUGACUGGGAAACGGCGGUGUGCCUGCAGUCUGUUAGCGUUUGCAGUGCAGAGUGUCUGUCCAGCGUGGCGGUUAGCCUGCUCCAGCGUGGUGUCUGUGCCCCCUUCGGGUGCAACGCUACACAGGGCCCCUUUGAGUCCUGUCCAGCACAACAGAAGGAGCUCUGUGAUCUCUUCUGAAAUGUGGUGCAGAGACAUUUUUGUGCUUGCAGCUGCUAUGGGACACACAGAGUGCUUUUUGACUUUGUUGUAACAUAAAAAAAAAAAAAGUGGUUUUAGCUGCGAUACAUACUUGGGUUUUCUGUUUGCCGUUUCACAAUAGGUUAUUUCACAGAAUGUGCCCUUGAUGUGCAUGCAUGUGUGCGUGUGUUUGUUGUGGUCAGAGAGAAACCACUUGGUGGUCAGUGUGAUGUGUGCUUGUAAAAAGUGGUGCACACACUCCUGUGCAGAAUGGGCUCCUGUUGAGAUGAUGACAUCAGUGGCAGCCUGUGAAUCACAGUGAAUAAGAAUCAGCAGCCAGUGAAUGAGAUAUCAUUAUUAUUACUUUCCUGCUAUCCCUGGCAGGCUUCUUAUCAGUGUAUAAUCUCCCACCCACUCUGUUUGUUCCUGGAGCAAUGAAGUCAUGCUGUUGCACAACCUUCCGCAGUUCUCACCAAGAAGGCCUCCAUUGUCGUCAAGACAUUUUACUAAUUAGGUAAAAGUAUUUAUAGGUUUGGGAUUAAUACUGUGAGGCUUCCACACGCACGCAGUCUGUGCUCAUUUAAAUUCAGCAUACGCCACCUGCGUGCAACUGCCCCAAGUCACCGGUUUAAAGGAAGGGCUUUAAGGAAUGGUGUUUUUUCCUGUAAUGUGCAGAUCUCCCACUGAUUUAUACAGAUUACUCCCGGUUUCACUCCUCAGUUUCAUCUGCAGUGGCUCCUGUCCUGCUUAGUACAGUAAUUGGGAUGGUUCAGUGCAGAUUUAAAAAUGAAUGAUUAAACAGUUGCUGGAUUGUUGCCAGACUUUGAAAUUAAUCACUCUCUCUCCCUCUCCCCUCUUGCUCUCUCUCUCUCUCUCUCUCUCAUAUAUAUAUAUAUAUAUAAGGAUGAAUGUAGGCAAGAAAGGUUGCAUGUUGGAAGGAAACACUCAAAGCUUUUACUGAAAUGUGUUUGUAUUGGCUGUUUGAACAAUCCAGAAUUUUGUGGAAUAUAAACAUGAUCCUUUUCUUUGUUUUGGAUUUGUACAACACCUGGAGACAUUACGUUGAUGUUCAAGCUGUUCGGAGUUACUUCACGGGGCAUUUUCUUGCUUUGGACCACAAACCCCCGAAUGCCCUUAAAUGCUUUGUGAAGUCAAGCAGGGCUUCAGAAACUCCUCUAAAUAUCUAAAAAUAUCCUUCAUCACAUCUGUGUUAAUCAAAAACCAACAUGUUUGACUGGGAAAAACAUGUAAAAGUCAGUCCGUUUCCAACAGUCCUAACCACAUUUAUGUCAUAAGAACUGACCUACAGUGAGCUCAGGGGUUAGUACAAUUUGGAUUUAAAGAACUUUGUUCUAAAAUUCAAGUAGGCCUUUUCUUACUCCAGUCAUAUGUGUGAAUGUGCACAAAUUCACAAGACCAUGUUUACUGCAGUUUCACCAUGGUUGUAGCAAUCAGAAUUGUGCACGAAGGACAUCUCAAAAAGCAGCCCAUGUAUACUUUAGUGAUUGCAGUGCCAGUGAAUUGUGAAAUUAUGUCAUUGGAAUGGCAGGGAUGUGUGGCUAAUUUUCCUAGUAAGAGAUAUGGUCUUCUCUUCAUAGCGUAAUCCAUUUCCCAUCGAUGUAGUCAUGCUGUAAAACCAGAUGUGUAUUUUGUUUGAAUGCUUCAGUGCCAGAGAACUCUCACUGAUGCGGGGGCAUAUUUCAGCCAUCAAUGGCCGUCUCAAACGCACAGAGACUCUGAGUGUCCUUUCCUUCUGGGAAAGGCCAGCCCUGGUUGUAGGCGAGAGGGGGGGUGAAGGGGGGGACGGGUGUGGGUUUGUGAUGUUUAAGGCUCUGUCACUGUGGGUCUGCUGGCUUGAGAGCAAAGAGCCAAUUCACGCGCUGCGCAGCCCUAGU